UCCCAGACUCCUACGGGAGGCAGCAGCGGGGGAUAUUGCACAAUGGGGGAAACCCUGAUGCAGCGACGCCGCGUGGGCGAAGAAGUAUUUCGGUAUGUAAAGCUCUAUCAGCAGGGAAGAAAUUGACGGUACCUGAGUAAGAAGCUCCGGCUAAAUACGUGCCAGCAGCCGCGGUAAUACGUAGGGGGCAAGCGUUAUCCGGAUUUACUGGGUGUAAAGGGGGCGCAGACGGCAGCGCAAGCCAGGAGUGAAAGCCCGGGGCCCAACCCCGGGACUGCUCUUGGAACUGCGCGGCUGGAGUGCAGGAGGGGCAGGCGGAAUUCCUGGUGUAGCGGUGAAAUGCGUAGAUAUCAGGAGGAACACCGGUGGCGAAGGCGGCCUGCUGGACUGCGACUGACGUUGAGGCCCGAAAGCGUGGGGAGCAAACAGGAUUAGAUACCCCAGUAAC
rnacentral:rRNA from 1 species